rnacentral:lncRNA from 1 species
GAAGCUGGCUGCCUGAGAAUAAGAAAAUACAGUAUGUGAGCACUUGGAGGAGAAACUGUAGGGUGCAAUAGUGGAAGGGAGGAGGAUUUUGAGCAAAAGAAGAAACUUGUGUUGUUAGGAGCUGCGACAACGCUAUUCAUUGCCUGAGUAGCCAAGCAUGUUAAGGUUUCUGCUGGAAAGGAAGACACCACUUUCUAGGAAUAUCUCUGUGAAAUGGCUCACACAGACUGUGGACGAGGGAAGGAGGAUGCUACGGAUGCAUGGUCUCUCCAAGACACCAACCGAAUCCAGCAUCUGUGUAGAGAGAAGAGAUUCAGCCCCAAGAUGAGCUCCAGGAAUCUAGGAUGUACUCAGGGAGAUGAAGACUACAGCCUACUCAUUCAGUCACUUUAUGCUCCCCUCUUUCUCCUCUCACUCUCUCAGUACAGUGCGUUACAGAACAACAAAGGGAGAAAAGGAAAUGAAGACCAUGAGCCUUACAUAAUAAAUAUUUACUGAGAAGUACCUGGAUCCUAUGAGAAAUAUAUACCUUAUGAGAAAAAGCCAUGCUCUUCAACCUGGCAAAGGCCUUCUCCAGGAUUUAAGUGAUUUCCAGUGCCUUACAAGAAUUCUUCUCAUGUGUGGAGGAGAAGUUCAUCACCCUAAAUGGAUGUGGUACAGUGCCUCAGAGGAAAUUGCAACGAAAGUGAAAUCCAAAGAAUUCCAAGAUCCUGCAGAUCAUGCUCCAUUCGUUUGUGUACUUCCCCCUACUCAGUCUUUAAUCCCACAGUGUAGCAAUUUCCAAAGGGAGCUCAAUGCAUAGAUCCCAGGCCGCUUCAUCUGAACUCAUGGUUGUAUGAACCUCAGUGUCCAUAUCCUACUGAAACCCUGCCCAGAGGAAAGCAUGUGUUUUCUCAGAACUACUUAUUUUGCUCUUAGAUUAUUUUCUUAAAUUUUACUCUUUGAUAUUUAUUGACCUUGAUAAUAUACUAAACUUUUUUUGUUUGUUUGUAUUUUAUUGUGGUUAUGUUCUCCUUAAGGUCCAUUACAGUGUUGGAAAACAGUAUAUUCUCUAAAUAAAGAAGAGAAAAAUUUAAAUCAAAAGU